AUUGAACGCUGGCGGCAGGCCUAACACAUGCAAGUCGAACGGUAACAGGAAGAAGCUUGCUUCUUUGCUGACGAGUGGCGGACGGGUGAGUAAUGUCUGGGAAACUGCCUGAUGGAGGGGGAUAACUACUGGAAACGGUAGCUAAUACCGCAUAACGUCGCAAGACCAAAAAGGGGGACCUUCGGGCCUCUUGCCAUCGGAUGUGCCCAGAUGGGAUUAGCUAGUAGGUGGGGUAACGGCUCACCUAGGCGACGAUCCCUAGCUGGUCUGAGAGGAUGAUCAGCCACACUGGAACUGAGACACGGUCCAGACUCCUACGGGAGGCAGCAGUGGGGAAUAUUGCACAAAGGGCGCAAGCCUGAUGCAGCCAUGCCGCGUGUAUGAAGAAGGCCUUCGGGUUGUAAAGUACUUUCAGCGGGGAGGAAGGGAGUAAAGUUAAUACCUUUGCUCAUUGACGUUACCCGCAGAAGAAGCACCGGCUAACUCCGUG
rnacentral:rRNA from 1 species